UUGAGCCUACGGGGGGCAGCAGUAGGGAAUCUUCCACAAUGGGCGAAAGCCUGAUGGAGCAACGCCGCGUGGGAGAAGAAGGUCUUCGGAUCGUAAAACCCUGUUGUUAGAGAAGAAAGUGCGUGAGAGUAACUGUUCACGUUUCGACGGUAUCUAACCAGAAAGCCACGGCUAACUACGUGCCAGCAGCCGCGGUAAUACGUAGGUGGCAAGCGUUAUCCGGAUUUAUUGGGCGUAAAGGGAACGCAGGAGGUCUUUUAAGUCUGAUGUGAAAGACUUAGGCUUAACCGGAGUAGUGCAUUGGG
rnacentral:rRNA from 1 species